UCCCCUGUCAUUUAAAGGUAGGAUGGCUGACUGUUAAUCAGUUAAUGGAAGUUCGAUUCUUCCCGGGGGAGCCA
rnacentral:tRNA from 1 species